AAGGGCACCACAAGAACGCGUGGAGCAUGUGGCUUAAUUUGACUCAACGCGGGAAAUCUUACCGGGUCCGGACACACUGAGGAUUGACAGGUGUUUGUGGUUAACUCUCUUCUGAGUGUUUUCCACUAUAAAUAUGCUAGUCCUUUCAUGAUUGUGUGAUAGGUGGUGCAUGGCCGUUCUUAGUUCGUGGAGUGAUCUGUCUGCUUAAUUGCGUUUCACAAAGAACUUUCUAACUUUUACCUGUUGCGCGGCAUUGUGUCCUUUAAUUAGGUACCGAUGUCUGUGCACGGUAGAGAAAAAGUUCUGAAGGCAACGAACGUGACCGCAUCCUCUUGUUGCCUCUUUUGAUUUAUUCAACAUGAGCAUUCUAUCUAUCUAGAUAGGUGUUCUGCAUAGAGUGCGAACUAGAGGGACCGCUGACGACUUUUAAAACAGAGGAAGGUUGCGGCAAUAACAGGUCUGUGAUGCCCUUAGAUGUUCCGGGCUGCACACGUGCUACAAUGAUUAUUGCAGUGAGCAUAUAAUUUUAUAAGGUUCUGUGCUUGUGUUUGGUAGCUUUUGUUGCCAUACACAGUACGGCCAUUGACCGGCUUCGAAAGUAAGCCGGUAAUCAAUUCGAAGUAAUGAUUUCCUUUCGCACAUACUUAUAUCUCUUGCUUGCAGGCUUACCUAUCCACUUGUGGGUAUGGUCAUGUUCUGCCUUGAGAUAUGUGCUCCAUUAAUUCAUGGUGGGGACAGACCAUUGUUAAUUGUUGGUCUCGGUCUCAACUAGGAAUGCCUUGUACGGGUCUUUGGUUCAACAAACCACCCGGAAUAUGUCCCUGCCCUUUGUACACACCGCCCGUCGCUCUUACCGAUGGACUUCGCUGUGAGUUUGGGGGACUGGCUAUCUAUUUAUAGAAAGCUAUGGAAACCUAAACGAACAGUGCGGUCUAAAGGAAAGAGAAGUCGUAACAAGGCAUCGGUAGGUGAACCU
rnacentral:rRNA from 1 species